AGUGAACGCUGGCGGUAUGCCUAACACAUGCAAGUCGAACGGCAGCACAGUAAGAUCUUGCUCUUACGGGUGGCGAGUGGCGGACGGGUGAGGAAUACAUCGGAAGCUACUUUUUCGUGGGGGAUAACUUAGGGAAACUGACGCUAAUACCGCAUACGACCUACGGGUGAAAGCAUGGGAUCUUGGGACCUUGCGCGAUUGAAUGAGCCGAUGUCGGAUUAGCUAGUUGGUAGGGUAAAGGCCCACCAAGCCGUCGAUCCUUAGCUGGUCUGAGAGGAUGAUCAGCCACACUGGAACUGGGACACGGUCCAGACUCCUACGGGAGGGAGCAGUGGGGAAUAUUGGACAAUGGGCGCAAGCCUGAUGCAGACAUACCGCGUGGGUGAAGAAGUCCUUCGGGUUGUAAAGCCCUUUUGUUGGGAAAGAAAUGCAGCAGGUUAAUACCCCGCUGUUCUGACGGUACCAACAGAAAAAGCACCGGCUAACUUCGUG
rnacentral:rRNA from 1 species